rnacentral:rRNA from 1 species
AGCGAACGCUGGCGGCAGGCCUAACACAUGCAAGUCGAACGAACCUUUCGGGGUUAGUGGCGGACGGGUGAGUAACACGUGGGAACGUGCCUUUAGGUUCGGAAUAACUCAGGGAAACUUGUGCUAAUACCGAAUGUGCCCUUCGGGGGAAAGAUUAAUCGCCUUUAGAGCGGCCCGCGUCUGAUUAGCUAGUUGGUUGAGGUAAUGGCUCACCAAGGCGACGAUCAGUAGCUGGUCUGAGAGGAUGAUCAGCCACAUUGGGACUGAGACACGGACCAAACUCCUACGGGAGGCAGCAGUGGGGAAUCUUGCGCAAUGGGCGAAAGCCUGACGCAGCCAUGCCGCGUGAAUGAUGAAGGUCUUAGGAUUGUAAAAUUCUUUCACCGGGGACGAUAAUGACGGUACCCGGAGAAGAAGCCCCGGCUAACUUCGUG